rnacentral:rRNA from 1 species
UACGGAGGGUGCAAGCGUUAAUCGGAAUUACUGGGCGUAAAGCGCGCGUAGGCGGUUUGUUAAGUCGGAUGUGAAAUCCCCGGGCUCAACCUGGGAAUGGCAUCCGAUACUGGCCGACUAGAGUACGAGAGAGGGAGGUAGAAUUCCACGUGUAGCGGUGAAAUGCGUAGAUAUGUGGAGGAAUACCGGUGGCGAAGGCGGCCUCCUGGUUCGAUACUGACGCUGAGGUGCGAAAGCGUGGGGAGCAAACAGG